rnacentral:rRNA from 1 species
AUACGGAGGAUCCGAGCGUUAUCCGGAUUUAUUGGGUUUAAAGGGUGCGCAGGCGGCCAUCUAAGUCAGCGGUUAAAUCGUGGGGCUCAACCCCAUUCUGCCGUUGAUACUGGGUGGCUUGAUUGCGGUCGAGGUUGGCGGAAUUCGUUGUGUAGCGGUGAAAUGCAUAGAUAUGACGAAGAACACCGAUUGCGUAGGCAGCUGACCAGACCGCAAAUGACGCUCAUGCACGAAAGUGCGGGGAUCGAACAGGAUUAGAUACCCUGGUAGUCCGCACAGUAAACGAUGAAUACUUGUUUUCGGCGAUAUAAUGUCGGAGGCAAAGCGAAAGCGAUAAGUAUUCCACCUGGGGAGUACGCCGGCAACGGUGAAACUCAAAGGAAUUGACGGGG